AUGGAAAUUGUCCAUACCUAUGGGAAGCCUGAAAUCUUCUUGACCAUGACCUGCAACCCUAACUGGGAAGAGAUAACGAAUGAGUUGUUUCCUGGUCAGACAGCGCAAGACCGACCUGGUCUUGUGGCUCGUCUGUUCCAUGGCAAGCUAGAGGCUAUGAAAGAGAAGUUGUUCAAGAAGAAUAUCCUGGGUGUUGUUGUUGCACCUGUAUACGUAGUCGAGUUCCAAAAUAGGGGCCUCCCCCAUGCACACUUUUUGUUGAUCAUGGAUUCUGCCUAUAAGCUUGUCAUUCCGGAGCAGUACGACCGAAUCAUUUUUGCCGAGCUCCCAGACAAGCAGAAGUAUCCUAAACUCCACGCCUUGGUGGUGAAACAUAUGAUCAAGGUUGUCAGAAUCAUGAUUUUGAAUCGGAUCGGAGCCUCGAUGGUAGGAUCACAAAUCGUAGAAUCUUCACUAUCAGGAUCAUAG
rnacentral:rRNA from 1 species